rnacentral:rRNA from 1 species
GACGAACGCUGGCGGCGUGCCUAACACAUGCAAGUCGAGCGAUGAAAUCCCUUCGGGGAUGGAUUAGCGGCGGACGGGUGAGUAACACGUGGGUAACCUGCCUCAAAGUGGGGGAUAGCCUUCCGAAAGGAAGAUUAAUACCGCAUAAUAUUAGAUUUUCGCAUGAAGAACUAAUUAAAGGAGCAAUCCGCUUUGAGAUGGACCCGCGGCGCAUUAGCUAGUUGGUGAGGUAAUAGCUCACCAAGGCGACGAUGCGUAGCCGACCUGAGAGGGUGAUCGGCCACAUUGGAACUGAGACACGGUCCAGACUCCUACGGGAGGCAGCAGUGGGGAAUAUCGCACAAUGGGGGAAACCCUGAUGCAGCAACGCCGCGUGAGUGAUGAAGGUCUUCGGAUUGUAAAGCUCUGUCUUUUGGGACGAUAAUGACGGUACCAAAGGAGGAAGCCACGGCUAACUACGUGCCAGCAGCCGCCGUAAAAC